rnacentral:misc_RNA from 1 species
UUUUUUACUUUUUUUCAGAAGCUCUACCAAAGAUCCACCAUCCAUAUACUCUAAGACAAUUGAAAUGUCACCAUUGUUAAAGAAUGACUCGUAAAACUUGACCACAUAUGGACAUUGUGAGGUUAGAUUAAUUCUUAAUUCUCUGGCAAUUGCUUUCCUUGCCUUCUCCUCAAUCUUCAGCUUUAUAACCUUCAAUGCAAAAAACU